UUUCAUUAUUUUUCAUUAACUCAAACAUCAUCAAAGAAAACGUUUUAAAGUAGAACCGAAAGCGAGUAAAAUCAUGGCGUUGAUCCGUUUCGACAUUGGAACCUUAUUCUAUUUACUUGUCCUGUUUUUCCUUAUCGUGCAACAAGUCUGGGUUGCUGAAGCAUGCCGAUGUGACCAAUCCGGUUGUUACGGUUGUAACACUCCAGCAAGUUGUCGUUGGUCAAGGGGACGGUGGACAUGUGUUGGACGCUGAUCUAACAUUUCAACUGACCUGGGCGGACCCUUGAAAUUGUUUAAAUACAAAUUAAUAAAUUUUUGAUUGGAUGAAUAGAAAUUUUGCUGUCUGCCUAUCCGUGAACAUUUCGAAUCAUUCAAAAUUUAUCAAAUAAUAAUAAACAACAAUAUGUUUUCAUAC